CAGAGUAAUCGGGUUUCGUGGCUUUCCCUCGGUUUCACUUCCAACUCCUACAAUGCUUUAUAAGUACCCACAGUACGAUGUUCCCAAAUUCACUUCUUUCUUGAUCUCCUCCAUUCCAUUUGAUUUAUUUCACUUAUGUACCGAUUACCAUGAGCGAAAGCGGAACUGGAGGAAAAUUCUGUAAGCGGCCGCUGCACGGGGCUCGGUUCGCUCCUUACGGCCCACCGAAGGCGGCUAGUGGAGCAUGCCGGCCUCCGCGGACCAAUCACGCGAGGGUGAGCCGGUGGUUGUCGAGGUUCGUUGAUCCCGCAGCUCGGUUUCUUGGUAGGAGUGUCUCUCGCUUCUUCUCAUCCGUGUUCCGCAAGGGCAUUGCUGCUACUCCAGGAGAAAAUAUUUAUACGGUCGAGAAGGUUUAAAAAAUGAAAUCCUCUCCGGAAGUAGGAGAGCAAAGCAAAAAUACCAUUGAUAUAACACUUUCAGUAUGCUAUGAUGGAAGCGAUGCAUCUAAGAAAGAGAUACUUUCGACAAUUGAUGCCAUUGUUUAAUUUCAAGAACCAGCCAGCCAAAAAGAAUU